rnacentral:tRNA from 1 species
CAUCGUCUAAUGGUUAGGACAGCGGGUUUUCAACCCGUCAAUGGGAGUUCGAUUCUCCCUG